rnacentral:sRNA from 1 species
UUAAUUUUUGUGUUAAUAUAUAAAUAAUAACAUAUAUUUAUAAAUCAUUAAUACACAAAUAAAUCAAAAUAUACAUUUUUAAACUUUAACAUACAUAUUAUUAAAUCCGUUGAAUAGUUUCAUCAUAAAAGAUUGAAAAAAAUCAUAAAUUUUUACAAGUAAAUUGAUUAUAGAUCGUAUAUAAGCUUAUAGUGGAUAAUAAUUGUCAAAAUUUCUAGAAGUAUUGUGAUGUUUCUAUUUCCUGUAAUUGCAUUUGCAUAGUUUUUAAUUAAAUAAAAGGGAUAAAACUAUACUUAUUGCAUAAAUAGAGAUAUAUAUACAUAUAUAAAAUUUUAAUAGUGCAAAGAAAUGAAGAAAAUUGAUAUAUAACAAUUCUCUGGACAUCAAGGAGUAAUAACAAGGUUGUUGACCUUCGCACAAAAAAAUUUAACACGUGAAUUCAACCUUCACAAAAAAAUAACAAUAUAAGCAGCUAUUAAAAAAAAAUUGAUUUCUUUCUUAGAAUACGGUUUUGCUUAAAACCGCUAGGUAAAUGAUUAUUCUUCUUUGGGAGAUUUGCAAAACUACCAUUUUUUACUACCCUUUUAUGUUGUCCAUUUUUAAAAAUACCCCUUCUCUUGAACAAAAUGACCAAAUUACCCUCAUCUAAUAGAAACAUGUAACUGGAAACUGAACUUUUCCCGCCAAUUUUUUGGCGCCAAAAUUUUUUUUUCCCACAAAAAAAUAAGUUUUCGUCAAAAAAAUUUCCCGUCAAAAAAAAAAAAAUUUCCCGCCAAAAAAA